CUGUACUCGUUGUUUUUGUUUGAGCAAUGGAGGGACGCAGGAGGCUAAGGAAUGCAGACGAUUGGAAAGGUCUGUCUAAGCAGUAAGUCUGGAUAGGAGUCAAAUGCUUCUGUCUUUACGGACAAGCUGUGAUGCUGGAAGGGCCAUCGCUCAACGGAUAAAAGCUACCCUGGGGAUAACAGGCUUAUCUCCCCCAAGAGUCCACAUCGACGGGGAGGUUUGGCACCUCGAUGUCGGCUCGUCGCAUCCUGGGGCUGUAGUCGGUCCCA
rnacentral:rRNA from 1 species